AGUGGCUCUACUCAGACCUACUGAGACCAGUGCCUCAGUUAAGAGGUGAAAUGUGAGUUCUUAGAAGAAAAUACUCCUGAACACUCAGCAGUUGUUGAAGUUUGCCUCUGAGAACAUCUUUGGGAAGCACACUGAAACACUCCACAAGAACAAGGGAUGCAUAAAGCCUACAAGCUCUUUACCAGGUGGAAAAGUCAUUCUGUAACAGCUAAGAGAUGAAAUGAAAGAAAAGAGACCCAGUUCAACACACACAUGAACUUUCUGAAUGAAGUCUCACACAUGCUGUUCCAGAUCACGUUUAUAGUGAGCAGAACCUCAGACUAAAGGAAAUAAAGCAUCAAGUUUGAGCUCUGAUGUUUCAUUGAUUUAGCCAAGUUCACAGAAGCCAAA